AGUCAAGAUACAAAGCUUAAAUUGAACCAUAUUUCCUGUCACUUGUUCUCCAUGUUCCUUGAGCUGAGGCAGACGGUCGUUCCCAAGAGGCUUCCACUCGUGAGUAGCCACUGUUGACAUCUGCUGCUUGUGCAUAUCCGUGCCCAUCCCCACUUGCAAUUUCCAAACAUGCAGAUAAUGUUGUCAUGCCUGGCAAUGCAUCAAUCCCACGCAGGCGUUCCACACGUGUCUUGUAGAUAAACCCCGCACAACAAAACAGUGUUGAUGAGACAAAGAAUACGCAAGAUAUGACCCCGAAGAUAGCCCAUCCUCGUCUAGAGUCUUCCUCUUGAUUCUCCCUGCGUUCACACUUUUUUGUAAGAAAAAACUGAAUAGGUUCAUAACCCUCUAUUGGGAUUGUGACAUUAACUUCAUAAGGUGUAUCACGGACCUCCAGACAUCUCCAAUUCACAAUCAACAUUGUUGGUGACAAAGUUGAAGGAGAAUUCCCGAUUGCACCCGAGCCGGACAAACUAACCCCAAGACCUUUCUCAGGAAGAACCUUAACAAAGGGUUUUCGCACCAAAGUAGAAAGGGAAGCAAUUGCAGUCAUAUAAAGGGUAACAUGAGCUUGUUCAGUGCUAAAGCUAAAGUCCUGGUAAGAUUUUUCAUAACCUGGUUGAGUCAAGCCAUUGUAAACAAUUUCCCAUGAACGUGGAUGAAAUCCAACAGUGAAGCCCUUGAAUACUCGCGGGCCACGUUUCUCACACAGAACAGCAAGUUCAACAAAAACUCUGCAGUCUGAGUCAUAUGUGAUAUUGCAUAUGCAUCCAAGUUCACCUUUGCAUCGUCUAUUUAAACAAUUUCCAC
rnacentral:misc_RNA from 1 species